GACGAACGCUGGCGGCGUGCUUAACACAUGCAAGUCGAACGGAAAGGCCCUGCUUUUGUGGGGUGCUCGAGUGGCGAACGGGUGAGUAACACGUGAGUAACCUGCCCUUGACUUUGGGAUAACUUCAGGAAACUGGGGCUAAUACCGGAUAGGAGCUCCUGCUGCAUGGUGGGGGUUGGAAAGUUUCGGCGGUUGGGGAUGGACUCGCGGCUUAUCAGCUUGUUGGUGGGGUAGUGGCUUACCAAGGCUUUGACGGGUAGCCGGCCUGAGAGGGUGACCGGCGACAAGGGGACUGAGGUACGGCCCAGACUGCUACGGGAGGCAGCAGUGGGGAAUAUUGCACAAUGGGCGGACGCCUGAGGCAGCAACGCCGCGUGCGGGAUGACGGCCUUCGGGUUGUAAACCGCUUUCGCAUGUGACGAAGCGUGAGUGACGGUAAUGGGUAAAGAAGCACCGGCUAACUACGUG
rnacentral:rRNA from 1 species